AGAGUUUGAUCCUGGCUCAGAUUGAACGCUGGCGGCAGGCCUAACACAUGCAAGUCGAGCGGUAACAGGGGAAGCUUGCUUCUCGCUGACGAGCGGCGGACGGGUGAGUAAUGUAUGGGGAUCUGCCCGAUAGAGGGGGAUAACUACUGGAAACGGUAGCUAAUACCGCAUAAUCUCUUAGGAGCAAAGCAGGGGAACUUCGGUCCUUGCGCUAUCGGAUGAACCCAUAUGGGAUUAGCUAGUUGGUGAGGUAAUGGCUCACCAAGGCGACGAUCUCUAGCUGGUCUGAGAGGAUGAUCAGCCACACUGGGACUGAGACACGGCCCAGACUCCUACGGGAGGCAGCAGUGGGGAAUAUUGCACAAUGGGCGCAAGCCUGAUGCAGCCAUGCCGCGUGUAUGAAGAAGGCCCUAGGGUUGUAAAGUACUUUCAGUCGGGAGGAAGGCGUUGAUGCUAAUAUCAUCAACGAUUGACGUUACCGACAGAAGAAGCACCGGCUAACUCCGUGCCAGCAGCCGCGGU
rnacentral:rRNA from 1 species